ACGGCUCAGUAACACGUGGAUAACCUGCCCUAAGGAAGGGGAUAACCUCGGGAAACUGAGGAUAAUACCUUAUAGGUUACAGACGCUGGAAUGCCCUGUAACCGAAAGUUCCGGCGCCUUAGGAUGGAUCUGCGGCCGAUUAGGUUGUUGUUGGGGUAACGGCCCAACAAGCCGAUAAUCGGUACGGGUUGUGGGAGCAAGAGCCCGGAGUUGGAUUCUGAGACAUGAAUCCAGGCCCUACGGGGCGCAGCAGGCGCGAAAACUUUACAAUGCGGGAAACCGUGAUAAGGGAACCCCGAGUGCCUGUAUAUGCAGGCUGUCCAGGUGUCUAAAAAACACCUGAAGAAAGGGCCGGGCAAGACCGGUGCCAGCCGCCGCGGUAAUACCGGCGGCUCGAGUGGUGGCCACUUUUAUUGGGCUUAAAGCGUUCGUAGCUGGGUUGUUAAGUCUCUUGGGAAAUCUGACGGCUCAACCGUCAGGCGUCCAAGGGAUACUGGCAAUCUUGGAACCGGGAGAGGUGAGGGGUACUUCGGGGGUAGGAGUGAAAUCCUGUAAUCCUCGAGGGACCACCUGUGGCGAAGGCGCCUCACCAGAACGGCUUCGACAGUGAGGGACGAAAGCUGGGGGAGCAAACCGGAUUAGAUACCCGGGUAGUCCCAGCCGUAAACGAUGCGCGUUAGGUGUAUCGGUGACCACGAGUCACCGAGGUGCCGAAGGGAAACCGUGAAACGUGCCGCCUGGGAAGUACGGUCGCAAGGCUGAAACUUAAAGGAAUUGGCGGGGGAGCAC
rnacentral:rRNA from 1 species